GAAAGAUUGAUUUACUUAGCCAAGCAUGAUGGCUCACACACCCUUUAUUCUAGCAUCCGGUCUACUGCGUGAGAUCCAGGCCAGGGAUACAGAAAGAAACCCUGUCUUCAAGAAAUAAAAGACAAAACAGAACACCCCACCCCAUCCCCGCCUCCAACAUUUACUUAUUUUCAUUUUAUGUGAAUGAGUGCUUGCCUGAAUGCAAGUGCACUGUGUGUGUGUGUGUGUGUGUGUGUGUGUGUGUGUGUGUGUGUGCGCGCGCGCGCGCGCCUGGCACCAGGGAAACCAGAAGAGGGCGCUGCAUUCCCAGGAACUGGAGUUACAGAUGGUUAUGAGCUGCCAUGUGGAUGCUGGGAACCGAUCCUAGGGCCUCUGCAAGAACAGCAAGUACUCUCAUCCAUCUCUCCAGCCCCAUUAAGUCUCUUUGUUUUAGUUUCUAAUACUAUUACUAGCACAAGAUAGAAUCUCCACAAGGGAAAUCUCUUUGAAGCCCUCAAUUAAUUUGAGAAUUACCUAAACUAUUCAGAAACUGCUGCAACAGGAAAGUGUGCUAUUCCGGGAGGAAGAGACAAAGAGGGAAGCAGGAAGUAGGGAGCCCUGGGGAAAGCUUCUCAGGACAUACGGCUAGCUUUGCCUAUUACUACUACACCCAACUCGUCAACGAAGUGCCCGGUCUAUGUGGGCACAGAUUAUGUUGUGGUAUUGGGGGUUCAAGGGAAAUCCAUGCCCACAGCUGGUGUCUAGAAGAAAAAACAUUAUCAACCCAAGGGACUGGGCCCUAGACUUUCCACCAGAGAGCUCUCACCACUGGGACAAGGAAACUAUCAUCUUCCAUUUUCGUUGCCGUAACACAAUAUCUGAGACUGUGGAACGUACAAAGAGGUUUAUAUUUAGCUCAUAAGUCUAGAGAUUGGGAAGUUCAAUGCAGGGUGGGCACAUUUGGUGAAGAUCUCAUGCUGGGCUGUGACACUGUAGACGUCACCGCACAGCAUGAACAUGUGCAGAAAAGGCACUGACCCACUCUGUAACAACCCGUGCUGGAGAGAAUGAAUUCAUUCCCGUCUGUGACAAAACAUUAAGAAGCUCUUUAAGGUCAACGUUUGUCUGGGCUAGCGUACUCCUUUGGCAGCCUUCCUUACUAUAACUGGGGGUUUCGGAUCUGGGUUACUGCUAUUACUGAUACUGUUGUAGUCAUUUUGUGUGUGUGUGUACAGUAUGCAGACUAUGCAGACCCAUGUGAAUGUUUUGGUGUGUGUAUGGGUGCACGCACACGGCCUAAGGUUGAUGUUAGGAAUCGCCUUUCUCUUCUGCCUGCACGCUGAAGCAGGCUCUCUCAAUCAAACCCAGAGCUUGCUGAUAUGGCUAAUCUUGGGAUUUGUGUCUGCUACCUGAGGCUGGAAUUGCCUGUGGGCUGCCAUGCCUACCUUACAAAUGUGUGUCUGCGGUGGCCUGAAUGAGAAUGGCUACUAUAGGCUCACAUGUUUGGAUACUUGGUUCCCAGCUGGUGAAACUGUUUGGGAAGGAUCAGGAGGUGUGGCCUCGUUGGAGGAUGUGUGUCAUUGGCAGGUGGACUUUGAGGUUUCAAAAGCCCAGGCCAUAUCCAGUUAGCUUUCUGUGCCUCAUGCUUGUAGGUUAUGAUCUAAGCUCUCAGCUACUGCUCCAGUGCCAGGCCUGCCUGCUGCCGUGCUCCUUACCGUGAUGGUCAUGGAACUAAUCCCAAAUUAAACACUUUAUAAGUUGCCUUUGUCAUUAUGUUUUGUCACGGCAAUAGGAAAGUAAGACAGGGGGUUUCUGGGGACCUGAACUCAAUGUCUAUGGGGCAGGUAUUUUAACCAAGCCAUCACCCAGCUUCUAGUAUUGUUUUAUGGCUGCCUUAAAUGUGAACUCGCUGGUCAAAUCUGAGGUUGUAUACUCAGGUCUGCAUGCACAGGCACCCAGAACUCUGCACUGGGCUUGCACACUCGCCUCUGCCUUUUGCUUCCUGUCCCGUGAGAAUGGUACCCUCACCCCGUAUCUUGCAUUCAGUUACCUGGCGGCACCUGUUCCCCUCAGAAUAGGGAGAAGGGUUCUUUCCUGACACAGACGAUGAAAAUUCUUUUACACCUGAAGAUAAUCAGACUCAACAGAAACUUCAGAAAGUCAGGUACUAGGCUGCCCCUUGGGCACUCAAUAAGGCAGACACCUGAGGCUGUCCAAGUCCUGUUUCUCCAGUGUUUUCCCCAAUACUAGGCUCCUAUAGGCCUGAGCUUCACACUAAAUCCCAGGUGUUUCCUGGGAGGCCACACCAUAGUUGGUGUCGUCAUGACUCUCAGUUAUCAAAUAGGCAGCCCAUUCAUGAUGACCUGCCAUUUCUAGAAACUUCCCACACCUGCCCCAUAGCUUCUUACCACCAUGUGUUGCCUCCCCUAACCCCACCUCCCAGCCCCUCUGCCACUCAGUUCUCCACUUUGCCUUCCUUGGCCCGAUCCAAUUCUAGACCCAAAAGGCCCUGCCCUCCAAAAGCCCCCCAGAAAUAACAAGCACUGGGUGGAGGGAUAGAGACAGGAGCAUUCUUGUAUCGCUGGUAGGAAAGAAUACACUGAUGUGGCCACUGCAGAAAAUGGAAUGGCAAUUUCUAAAAAAAAAAGUAAAUGCAGGAUUACCAUAAGAUCCAGAAACAAGAAAAGAGAAUUGAAAGCGGGGUCUCAGGGAGACAUUGAACACUCGUCAAGGUAGAGACAAGAGAACUCGUGGUUCUUGCCGAGGACCCAGGUUCCCUUCCCAGCACCCACACGGUGGCUCAAAGCCAUUUUAAAUCCAGUUCUGGGGGGGGGGGGGAGGUCCAGUCUCCUUUUCCAGACUCUCAAGGCACACAUGUAGGUAAAAACACUCAUACAUAUAAAAUUUAAAACAACUUAAUUUAAAACGACAACAACAACAAAAGGCUGGAAGCAGCCCAAAGUGCUGGACAGAUGAACGGAUGAAGGAAACAGUACUUCAGCCUUAAUAAAGGAGGGAGUUCUAACAAGCGCCAAACAGGAAGAAUCGUAAGGACAUUAAUUUGAAUGCAAUAAGCUAGCCAAGGAAGGGCAAAUCCUGUAUGACCCGUUUGUUUGAAGUCCCUUCAGCAGUUAAACACACAGAGACAACAGAACAAUGGUUGCCCAGGAACAGGGCAGGGGACUGUGGGACUACUGCAUUAACAGAUGCCGGGUUUCAGCUUUGCAAGAUGAGCUCUGGAGACUGGCUGCACGGUCGCAGGCCCAUGUGUGUGGCAGCCAGUGUUGUCCUCAGCACCACACCAAAGCACUAAAGGAAUUAUGCUGGCAAAUUUUACAUUGUGUGUGUUUUGUGAGACCCAGAUCAGCAAACACACACACCAUCAAAGCUGGUGGCUGCUGUGGCAGCAGCUCACGCCUUUCCUCCCAGCCCGUGAGAGGCCGAGGCAGGCGGGUCUCUGAGUUUGAAGCCAGCCUGGUCUACAGCAUGAGACCCAGGACAGCUGAGGCUGCAUAGAGAAACUCUGUCUUGAAACCUCCCCUACUUAAAACAAACAAGCAAACAAACAAAAGCAUGCACAUCAUCCUGAGGCAGAAGAAGAAAGUGCAUGUAUAUCUGGCUUUCCUAUACGACGUUUAUUUCCCCUUAACAGACAAGGCCUUAAUAUGUUGUGCCUCCUGGUCCUGAACUCCUGGGCUUAAACAGUCCUCCUGCCUCAGCUUCUUUUUUUUUUUUUUUUUUCCGGAGCUGGGGACCGAACCCAGGGCCUUGCGCUUGCUAGGCAAGUGCUCUAUCACUGAGCUAAAUCCCCAACUCCCCUGCCUCAGCUUCUUAAGCAACUGGGUUGAAGUUGUGUGCCACUAUGCUUGGUUGGCCAUUAAAGUUUUUUUGCUACUCUGUGCCCAGUGAGGAAUAUAUUUCUUCCUAAUCGCUGGCAGAGAAAGCUUGGGAUCUUUCUACCUAUUUACAUUUUUUUUUUCCUUUUUAAAAUCAAGCUUCUGCCUUCUGGGGAGAAACUGAUGUUGGCUCUCAAUGUCUCUAUGUUUAUAUUUCCUAGAUAAUUUUUAGUAGUGCGUGGUCUCAGCACCUUCCUCUGAUCUCACAUUCUGUGGUCAUUUCCACGGGCACUGUUGCUGGGAAGGACAGAGCCAGCCAGGGUUCCAGUUUCUUUCUUAUGCCCCGCUGGCUCAUUACUCCUCCUUAUCAUCUCACUCGGCCCCUCCCCCUCUUGGCCUCUUCCGGGGCCUUUUGCCCCUUUCCCACUGAGUUCAUUUCUUUGUGAUCCUGCAGUUCAAUUUCAGAGAUGAGGAUCAGGUUCCAUGACAGUUAUCCCAUUUCCCCUCCACUUCCCCUCACUUCUGAAGGUGAUAUCUGGGGACACCUGAGCCCCUCAGAAUGGCCUUCUCCCAGGGUUACAGCCCUUGCUGGCUGAGACCAACCCUGGAGAAGACUAGGCAUUGGCUGUUGUGACUCUGCAAUAGAAAAGGGACAACCCAGAUCUCUACACCAGUAAGGGCAAGAGAGACUGGGUCUGUGGCCAUUACAAUAUGCCUGCAGGUCCUCAGACGUUAUAAUAAAUGCCUGCAGGUCCUCAGACAUUAUAACAUGCCUGCAGGUUCAAGACCUUUAUGACAGUCCUGCAAGGACACUGCCAGUACUAUGCUGACCCUGUGUGAACAGCUGUCACACUUCCUGGUCACCCCUUUCCUGCGUGAGAUCUUGAGGUGCUCUCUCCGAAGGGAUAUAAACAUAAGCAUGGGCCAGGGAGUGGAGAGCACCCCCAAAUCGUGAUUCCAAGGCCAAUCCCUAACCUGGGGUUGACUUGUCAGUCUGUGGGAGAAAGUGGCUUCCCACUUCUUCAGGAAGCCUAGCUCCCUUCCUUCUAGGGCCAGCUCCACGACGCCUAGAGGGGGUUUCUCCCAAACUGUCCAUCUCUGUCUUUGUUUGCAGUGUUCUCACUGCUGGUCCUUUUUUGGGGGGUGGGAGGAUGUCUACUGAGGUGUGUACAGAGAAAGCUGCAGGGAAAGCCACAGAGGGGACUGCUAGGCACUUUCUAUUUAAAGCCCCAACCCCCCUUUUCUCUCAUAGACCUUCCCAGCAGGGAGUGAUCUGGCGGCUGCCUCUCUCCUCCUCUCUCCUCCAAGCGUGACUCCACAGUUUCUUCAUCAACACAGUGGGGAGAGGAGGGAGGCUGCCCUCUGAAUACUAACUGGAAAGGUAAACAGCCCCGAUGGAGAUGGUGGAUGGAGGGAUGGUCCUUGUCAGUGCAAGCUGCAGAAUGAGUUUGUAAUCAUGCGCAGACCCCCAGAAGGAAAUUAAUUAACGUCCAGAGGACAAACACGAAGCAGUGAGGCAGUCUCUCCAGGCUCAGGGGGCAACCCGGGCAUAUUUCUCAAAGGAGGGGAUCUGUCAGGGAAACACCGGGCUGCAGCUGGUGCCUGAAGUCCUAUCUCCUUCCAGGGGAAUCCCGGGGGAGGGGAGGGGAGGGAAAUGUCAGGUGCUGUUGGGAAACUGCUCCAGGAAGUCUCCCGAGAGAGAAGCCAGGAUGUGUUGGAGCUGAAGAGCCGAGCAGAGCUUCCUCAGAAGACAAUAGUAUGAGAGGAAGGGUAGCUUUAAACUGUCACAGGGGAGGGAGGAAGGGAGGGAGAGAGGGAGGCUUGGACCAUAUGCACACAUCCAAUGUGAGAAACACACAUGGAUGCUGAAUGGUGACCCCUACCCCACCCCAAGACAUCCUCAUGCUCUUGUGCCCAGAAACCAAAAGGUGACCAUUUGUGGGAAAAGGUCUUUGUAGAUGACACUAAUUUAGGGACCUCAGAAGAUGCCACCUUUGUUUAUCUGGGUUUCCCAAAUCCAACCCCGGGUGUCCUCGGAAGAGACAGAGAUGAUGGGAAAACAGGCAGAGCUGGGAGGGAUGUGGUGGCAACCCCUUGAAGCUGAAAGGAGGGAAGAACAAAAUCCCGUUGUCUGAGGCCACCCAGUUGGUAGUAAUUUGUUCCAGCAGCCUUAGGAAUCUAGCACAGUAGCUUGAGACGGGUGACAAUUUUCUCAAGGCUUCAAUAGGCGAAAGGGGACAGGACUCCUGUGCCACUGCUGACACCAGCUGAGGUCACUGAGGGUCAUGAGGGCUGGUUCUGCUUACUCAGCACUCUGCUUCCCUUUUCCCCAGUCCUGGGUCUUCUGUUACCAGUUCACACAGUAGGGUGGGCAAGUGGUAGUCCCCAAAGAUGGUCCCCAGCUCAGUAUGAGAAAUUGUAUUUAGAACCAAGGAGAUGGGCUGAAGAGAUGGCUCAGUAGCCAAGAGCAUUGGCUGCCCUUCCUGAGGAUCUGAGCCUGAUUCUCAGCACCAACAUGGCAGCUCAAAAUCGUCUAUAACUGCAGCCCCAGGGGAUCUGAAGGCCUUUUCUGGCCUCCGCAGGCACUGGGCAUGCAUAUGGUGCAUAGGCAUACAUGCAUGCAAAACACCAAUCCACAUAAAAUAGAAUAAGAAAAAUUAAACCAGAAAUGUACCAGUUGUUAACAACACUUGCUGCUCUUGCAGAACAGCCAGAUUUUUCAGAUCCCAGCAACAAGAUGGUGGUUCACAACCAUCUAUAACUCCAGUAUGAGAGGAUCUGACACCUUCUGGUCCUUGAGGGUACCAAGCUCGCAGGUGGUACACAUACACACAGACAAAACACUCAUACGUAUAAAAAAAAAUUACAAAAACCCACAGACGCAUCCCCAGUGGGUGUGAGACGUUCAGAGAUAGCAUGAUUGCUUAGCACAUGAGUCCCUGAGCCUUAUUCUCAGCCCUGGAAAAAAUACCAACAAGUGGGGGAGAAAAAAACCUAAAAAUCGCAUUAGCUGGGCGUGGUGGCUCACACCAUUAACCCCAGCACUUGGGAGGUGGAGGCAGGAGGAUCUCUGUGAGUUUGAGGCCAGCCUGGGUUACUUAGUGAGGUUCUAUCUCAAAAGAACUUCAGAUGGUAAAUUUAUUUAGUGUUUAUGAUUUUAUAAAAGUUUAUUUUAUUAUUUUAUGUGCAUGGGUAUUUUGCAUGUAUGUAUGUCCGUGUACCACAUGUGUGCAGUGCCCCAGAGACCAAAAAAUGGGGUAGAAUCUGAUGGCUGUGAGCCUCCAUGCAUGUGGGUGCUGGGAAUGGAACAACCAGUGCUCCUGCAUCAUCUCUUCACCCGUAUGCGUGCUUGAGUGUGUGUGGUCCUGGUUCUAGUUCUGGGUUAGGACCAAGACUGAUGACCUGCAUGGCAGAAGGACAGAAGAGAUACUCGGGGUAGGACUCACGGACAUACAUGUGUAUAUAUACUCAUACAUCCCAACACAUGUAAACACACAAAAAGUAAUAAAAAAUGACUAAUUGCAUUUGGUCUUAUGCUUUUAAGCCGAACACUGAAGGGAGAUUCAAUUAAACUUACAGCAGCAGCUUUGAAGUGUCUUCAGAGAACUUCACAGAGAGCAUAUUUAGAAGUUGACUUUGCUGAUAUUUAAGAAUAGGUUAGGAAUCUAGCAAAGUCCUGCCCUUUUAGGAUGGGUAUUGAUACACUUGAGAAAACUGGGAGUAGGAGGAACGAUCUAGUGGUUAAGUGCACUGGCUGUUCUUACAGAGAACCAGAUUCCCAGCACCCAUGCUGCAGCACAAAAUAGUCUGUAACUUCAGUUCCAGGGGAUCCAAUGCCCUCUUCUGGCCUUCCUGGACACUGCAUGCACACUGUAUGCAGCUGUCCGUGUACAUAAACACUCACACAUAUAAAAUAAAUAGAUCUAGAAAAAAUAAAAAUUAUGUUAACAAAAAGGAACUGGAUACAUUGAACUUAGGAAAAAGGUCACUUCAAACAUUCUAGUAGACCCGGGGUGAAGGUCUGAUGUGAAGUGUGUAAGCACGUCAACAGCGGGGUUCUGUUUGGAGUGCUUACAGAAGAAAAAGAUCUUUGCAGAGGACCAGUUGCCUAAGUUAUAAUCUCCUUGCCCUGGAAUGCAACUGCGAAGGCUGCAUGAAGUUGGUGAGUUACAUUUGAAAGCUUAAGGAAACAGACGCAUACUACCACACACCUUAAUACCAGUACUCAGGAGGCAGAGGUAGGCGGAUCUCUGAGUCUGUGAGGCCUGACCUAUAGAGCAAGUUCCAGAACAGCCAGGACUACACAGAGAAACUCCAUUUCAAAAAGUCAGGAAGGAAAAUAAUAAAUGAAUAAGAGCCCAAGGAACCACAGGUUUUCCAUUGCAGCAUGCUGAUUAUAAAUGUAGACACAAGCUUCGUAAUUCCUUAACGGGAGAACCAGGAACACAAUAGCAGUCCCAGAGGAUUACAAAAGAGUGCAGAAGCUCCUACUGCUUAGUGGCACCACAGACACCAUGGCAUUCUAGAGCACAGCAUCACUGGGCUGUAGUGAUCUGGUGUCCACACGUUCGCUGCACAGUCAGGCAUAAGAAAGGACAGUUCACAUAAUUAGGUAGGGCAUUUAAUAUCUGACGUUAACAAGUAAGUCACUGGUUUAUGUAUUCACUCUAAUACAUACACACACACACACACACACACCCCACAUCUCUUCAGUCUGUUAUCUUUUAUUUUUUUCUUGAGAUAGGGUUUCUCUGUGCAAACAGAGCCCUGGAUGUCCUGGAACUUAAUCUGUAGACCACACUGGCCUCAAACUGACAGAGAUCCACUUCCCCUGCUGGGUGCUGAGAUUAAAAGUGUGUGCUACCAUGCCUGGCUUAAGCACAUCUUUUAAACAGUAUUUGUUUUUUGAGAAUAUCACAUAAUAUAUACCAUGUAUUUUGAACAUAUUUAUUCUUCCCUCCCAUUUCAAAUUCUCCUGUACCCAUUAUAAUAUGGUAAAGAGGCCAGGUGUGGUGUUACAGGCCUUUAAUCCAGCAACCUCGAGGUGCAGGCAGGGCAGAGGCAGGCAGAUUUGUUUGAGUUGGAGACCAGCCAGGGCUACAGAGACCCUGUCUCAAGCAAAACCAGGCAGCACGGGGAGGUUUAUUGCAAACUGGGGACCAUUCAAAGCAGUUUCUCCCUAAGCAAGUGCACCCAGGGGCUCUUAGUGAAACACACCCAUUCCUCAUCACCCGUAGACAAAGGACAUGUGAGCAUGCUCAGUUUAACACUUUGCUUUUCAUACACUGCAUACUCAAAAAGUGAGGGGCAGGGCACAAAUGCAGUUGGGAAUGGUGCCUCAUACCUAAUCUUAGCAAUUAGGAGGCAAGUUCUGGAGUUCAGGGCCAGCUUUGGUGGCAUAGUGAGUUUGAGUACAGCGUGGGUUACACAAGAGGUUCACCCUGGGGGCUGGGGAUUUAGCUCAGUGGUAGAGCGCUUACCUAGGAAGCGCAAGGCCCUGGGUUCGGUCCCCAGCUCCGAAAAAAAGAACCAAAAAAAAAAAAAAAAAAAAAAAAGAGGUUCACCCUGAAAAGCAGAAAGGAAGAAAGAGAAAGAAGGGCUGGCAUGAUGAGUCAGGGUUGUAAAGAUGCUGUGCAGGCCUGGUGACUAACUUCAACUCCUGAAACCCAUGUAAAGGUGGAGGAAAAAUCAUAGACUCCAUAACGUUAUCCUCUGACUUCCACACAGGCUGUGAAAUACUGACCCCCUCCCCAACUCUGUGAUACACGACCCUACCCCACAUCACCACACAUACACAUAUUGACACACACAAAUAAAAAAAAGAGACUUUAAAGGAAAAACGGCAGACAUGAUGCACUUGGGAAUUUCAUUUUAUGGUGAACAAAAUUUAUUCUAAGUUACCUAGGCUUGGGUCAGAAUGACUUCACAGUCUUGGCUGGUUCCUUUUAACUCUCCCUGGAGAGUUUCUAACGUGGAGGCUAGAAGCUCAAGUCACAUGGUGCAGAUUCUGGGUGGGUGGGCCCGACUUCUUUGGCCUUCCAUGUGUAAUGGAUGUGCGAGAGUCUGUUUUUAUUGCUAUUUUAGUGCGUAGUCCUACUUACGAAAACAUCUCUGCAAAACAGGAUGCUACAGUACACCAGCAGCCACCUCAGCCCUAUCUAGUGUUUAUCCUUUCUUAAAGACUCACUAUGUAGCCCAGGCUAGCCUGGAAUCUUCAUUAUUCUGUCCCAUCUCCUUAGUGUACCACCAUAUCUGAACUUACCAUGUACCCCCCACCUCUUUAAAAAAAAAAACCAGGGGCUGGGGAUUUGGCUCAGUGGUAGAGCGCUUGCCUAGCAAGCGAAAGGUCCUGGGUUCGGUCCCCAGCUCCGAAAAAAAAAAAAAAGAAAAAAAAACCCAAAAAACUAUAUACAUGCAUGGUGUGUGUGUGUGUGUGUGUGUGUGUGUGUGUGUGUGUGUGUGUGCAGAUGUAUGUGUGGCGAUGCAGUAGGUAAGAGUCAGAGGAGAGUUCUGUGAGUCAGUUAUCUGCUUCCACCUGGGAUCAAACUAAAGGUUGCCAGUCUUGUGUGGUAAACGUCUUUUCUCGCUGAACCAUCUCACUCCUGACUGCAGUUGGGGCUAGGUGGAGUGAUCCGCCCGGUAUUGUUGAGGUGCAUGUAACUCUAGGAUUCUGCACAACAAAACCUCUCAGUGAUGUGUUUUAUUGGCUGUGUGGGCAAGGAGCCCGCGUGUGCAUAUACCCUCAAGCAUUCCUCCCCAUAACACCAGCGGCAAAGUCAUGCACAUUACAUGAGGCCACAUGGAGGUGGGAGUGCUGUCAGAAUAAGAGCAGGAGGCACACUACUCAGGUUUGGGGAUCACCAUAGCAAAGCUGCAAAGGUAAUAGAUACCAUAAAACACACACACACACACACACACACACACACACACACACACACACACACCACAGUCCCCUCUACCUAGAGAAACUCCCAGUGUGUGAACAGCCCUGUUUCAGGGUUUCAGGAUGAGGCCUCCUUCCAGUGUGGCAUCACCCAGCCCUGGUUUCAGUCUCUGCAGUUCCUCUUGAGGACAGUCUUCUUGCUUGGUGUCUACUACAGAGCCUGGUACCCAGAAGAUGUCCAUCAGCAUCCAGCAGACCCAUGCCAGGCUGCUGCUAGGGUGGCUACUAUGUAGAAAUCAAGGUAGGGAACUCCUGCAAGAGGGCCCACAGCCCCUGCCCAACUUCCCCAGUAUGGCCGAGGUGCAGGAGCAAAGGUGGGGUUCUCUGGUCCUUCAUCAUGGCUCCAGUUCUUUCAGGGAUAGGUUAUCACCCCCAGGUUCCUGCUGAGCCUUAUGGGUUCUUACAGCCAAUUAUCAGGCAGAGUGGCACCUUCGGCUGGAGAGAUAGCUCUGCAAGUAAAGGGACUUACAGGCAACUGACAGACAACCAGAAUUAUAAUUCCAUGAUGCAGGGGGAGAACUGACUCACGCUACCCUCUGAGCUCUAGGCACUCACUGCGGCCUGCAUGCACCCAGACACGUACACACAAUUAGGUGAAGGUGAGAAACAAAAGACACAGUCUGGGGCUUGGAGAGUUGGACUGGUGACUAAGGGACCUUGUUGGGUUUGAUUCCUGGCACCAGUGUUGGCUCACAACUAUACUCAAUUCCAGUUCCAAGGAAUUCUUCACCCUCUUCUGACCUACAAGGGCACCAGGUACAUACGGGAUACACAAACAUGCAUGCAAGCAAAACAUUCAUACAUCUAAAAUUAAAUAAAUAAAUUAAAAAAAAAAAAGCCCAGGCCCCCUCUGGAAACAGGUACCCAGCUACUGCCAAGUGUAACUUAAUUAUAACCCCAAGAAACCACAGCACUGACUACAAAAGGAUGUUAUCUCUUUAGAAAAACAGAGGACUGGAUGAAUUCCCCCAGGGUCAUGGCUCCCCUCUAGAUAUGGAUCAGGAUGGGCAGACGUGAGACCCAGUGAGACCCAGUGAGACCCAGUUCCGGGUUGGUUCCUUAGUCAUUCUUUGAAAGGGAGGGGCCCAGUGGCAGGAAGCAAGAGAGAGCAGAGAGCACAAAGAAUUCAACCAAUCCCCCUCCCUCCUCGUUCUUCAGACAUUCUAGCUCUCUGGAUUUUCUCUUUCUCUUGGUAUUAGGACAGAGGAGACCUUCUGUGUGCAGGGCUCUCUCUGCGGCUGGGUCUCCCGGCCCUCCCGUGCUUUCUGAUUCUGACACACAUAGCAUCCACAGUAUCUCCCAACUGAUUCCCCAGAGUCCUUUGCUUUCCCAGAGUCUCUUCUACAACUGAGAUUCUGUAGAAAAUGGGGGGUGGCGGGGAGGGGGAGGAGAGGUAGGGGCAGGAGUCCCAGAGGUCCCUAGGCUCCUGAAUUCCCCGAAUUCUUGGCAUUUUGCAUUUCCUCUUGGGAAAUACUAAAAUCAGCUGUUUAUACCUCCGACAAACCCAUUCAAGUCCAUUAUCCCUCCCCAUGGUAAAGUCUGUCCCAUUUAGAGGAAAGGUAUGUUCCAUCACCAAGGGACUCAAGGAAGAGGCAGAGGGAUGACUUGGAGGACCCCGCUGGCUCCUCUGCAAGGGAGCCUUCCCAGGAACAGCCCAUUUAUCAGAGUGAGAAACUGAGGUCUGCAAGGUUGACUCAGUGAGGAAGAGGACAGAAGGAACCCAGAGUCCCCAGAAGUUUCUAACUCCACCUCUCCUGGACACCAGCCCUUGGGAGUUACUUAUAUUAGACUGAGUUCUCCAGAGAAACAACCAAUAGAUGCAUGUGUGUGUGUGUGUAGAGGGGGGAGAGAGGGAGAGAGAACUUGGUUUAUUUUAAGGACUUGGGUCAUGUGAUUGUGGGGGCUGGCAACUCUGAAAUCUGCGGAGCAGGAGGACAGGCUGGAGGCCUACCCAAGACCUGGCAUCGCUGUCUUGUUUUUGCUGCUACAGGAGGAUUGGAGGCAGAAUCUGUCUUUCUGGGGGGCGGAGGGGAGUGGGGGGGGAAGGCUUACAUCUUUUCUCAACCAACCAACACAGCCCACCCAUACUGCAGAAAGACAAUGUUCUUUUUAAAACACCAAGAUUUACACAUUCGUUGCAUUUAAAAAAUACCUCCAGCCACAUCUAGACUAAUGGCUGACCAAACAUUGGGUGUCAUGGUCUAGCCCAGGGAACACACAAAAUUAGCACCUCGGUGAAAGGAGGGUCUUAUCACUUUAAAUCUCUACAUUAGAGGCAAGGCCAAAACCAAGGCCAAAUCUCUAGUGUUUGGUCUCAGACCUCUUGCUGUCCUCCUUCUGGGCCUGAGGAUGACUCAGAAUGGAUGAGGAACUCAGCUGGAAUCCAGCUCACUCCCAGCUCCAGAAAGAAGGAAGGAUCCCCUAGAACCCUAAGCUGGCUGAGGGUGAGGCUAUGCCUGAGGUGGAGCUCAGCUGUCUGUCACACUGGACAGUGGGAAGGGCUCGCCCCUUCCUCCUGUGGACCCAUUCCCAAGAGUCUCCUCUUUUGGCUCAUGAAGCAACUUCCCUUUGAAAUGUCCUACUCCAUCCAAACCAUUUCUACUCUGAGACGCUUGCCCUGCUUGAUUGGGCUAGUUUCCAAGCAGCAAAAGCCAUGUCUUGAGGGGUAGGAAUUCCUGGAAAAGGUAACUUGGAUGGUUUUGCGUCUGCGUUUUCAUGUCCCACUCAUUCGGUGUCCCCGAAGCUUCCUGGAAACCACCGGGCAAGUGUGCUGUCCACCACUGCUUCUACUCUGAGGCUCAGCUCUGGGAGGGGUGUGGGGGGCACAGCUGAAGUUAGCAGCUGGGGAUAAUAAAAGCUCAGUGGACUGGCGCGGGACACACCUGGACUGCAGUUUCUUAGAACUGCUUGGGGGAGACAUAAAUGCAGUCAGCUUGGAAAACAGGGAGGGGGUUCACGGACCCUGGCAGUCUGUGAGAGCUUAGUAGGGACGGACACCGUAUCUUUGCUUGGGCCCUGGGUACCCCAGAUGGAGUCCAGAUCCACUCAGGGAGUCUCUGAUUUUGAUGUUUCUUAAUAGGUUGGACUGUUGAACUGGAACAUCCUAGAACAGCAGUUCUCAACCUGUGGGUCAUAGCCCCUUAGGGAGUUGAGUGACCCCUUUACAGGGGUCGAAUAUCAGAUAGUCUAUAUAUCAGAUAUUUGUCAUUUAUAAGAGCAGCGAAAUUACAGCUAUAAAGUAGUAACGAACAUAAUUAUAUGGCUGGGGGUCACCACAAUGUGAAGGACUGCUAAUGGGUUGUAGCAUUAGGAAGGCUGAGACCCACUGCUCUAGCGGGAUCAAGAGGAUGAUAGCAAGCGCUGGUUAAGAAUGAGUCAGGUUCUGGGUGCUGCCUCACUGCCCUGUUCCUUGCUUUAGGUGAUCUGAGAGGCUGUGCUGAAGGACUUGAUAGAAGGAGUGGCUGAUCAGCCUCAGCUCAUAAAUAUCUGAACUUCUACCCUCUUACCACGGCUGCUUCUAAAACAGCUGUGUAGGGCACGCUGGGCACAGGUACCUGACUGGGGCUGAGCCAUGUUGGUGCUGAAUGAGUUGAAGGCAGCCAGUGAAGGAAAUCCAGGUGACAGGUGACCUGGCCUCACACACCAAAUGGCUUUAGUACUCUAAGUUCUGGGUCUUGCUGGGCUGCCAGGAGCAGAGGCGCAGUUAAGCUCUAACGGAGGAGAUGAGCCAUCCAGUGUCAGUCCAUCACUUCAGCCCUCACUGUUUUCCUAUCUUAGGUUAAGAAAUGAUGUUCUGCAAGUGGUGCUCCCUGUCAUUCAGCCCUUACCUCCCUCCUGCUCCUGCCACAAAACAGCCAGGCCUCUGGGACCUAGGAACUCCUUCACCCUGCCCAUAAGGAGGGAACCUACUUGCCCCAACCCAGGGAGCCUGGGAAAAUGCUGCAUUAGUAACUGGAGCAGACACAGGCUUCAGCCACUGCUGCAGCUUGGGAGACCCAGUCCUGGCUCAGUCCCACGUGACACACUACAACUCAUCCCUGGGUCAUUUGUGCCUCCACUAAACAUCUAAACUCAUUCCAGAAGAUCUCACCCAUGGAACUGUGGGAGUUCCUUCCCAUCCACCAUCCACUUCCUCCAGUGAGAGGGGAAGGACUUGGUUGGAUCCAGGAGCUGGGACCAUAAUCAGAGUAGGGUAAGGUGGUCAAGGAACCCAUCAGAAGUGCCCUGAGCCAGCACCUACCUGGUGCCAGGCCAGCUGUGUUCACUCAUAUACUAGUGAGGAGAUAUGGCGGAGGCUAUAGCUAUGCUGUGACUAUCAAGAGAAGUUCUGG